rnacentral:rRNA from 1 species
UGAAUACGAGAUGCUACGGCGUCGAAGCAGUCUAUGUCAUACUUCCAAGAAAAGCUUGCACUGUCAUAAACAAAUAAUGCCUGUACCAUAACCGACACAGGUGGGUAGGUAGAGUAUACUAAGGGGCGCGAGAUAACUCUCUCUAAGGAACUCGGCAAAAUGACUCCGUAACUUCGGGAGAAGGAGUGCCUUAUUUAUAAGGUUGCAAUAACAAGAUCCAAGCAACUGUUUACCAAAAACACAGGUCUCCGCUAAGUCGUAAGACGAUGUAUGGGGGCUGACGCCUGCCCAGUGCCAGAAGGUUAAAGAAGUUGGUUAGCAUCCGCGAAGCUGAUAACUGAAGCCCUGGUGAACGGCGGCCGUAACUAUAACGGUCCUAAGGUAGCGAAAUUCCUUGUCGGGUAAGUUCCGACCCGCACGAAAGGCGUAAUGAUUUGGAUACUGUCUCGGAGAGGGGCUCGGUGAAAUAGACUUGUCUGUGAAGAUGCGGACUACCUGCACCAGGACAGAAAGACCCUAUGAAGCUUUACUGUAACCUGAAAUUGAAAUUGGACUUUACUUGCGCAGUAUAGGUGGGAGGCGUUGAGAAUAUUCUUGCGGGAUUAUUGGAGCCAUCAGUGAGAUACCACUCUUGUAAUGUUAGAUUUCUAACUUUGUAUCAUUAUCUGGUCAAAGAACAGUUUCAGGCGGGCAGUUUGACUGGGGCGGUCGCCUCCUAAACGGUAACGGAGGCGCACAAAGGUUUCCUCUGAACGGGUAGAAAUCGUAUCUAGAGUGUAAAGGCAUAAGGAAGCUUGACUGUGAGACCUACAAGUCGAGCAGGGACGAAAGUCGGUCUUAGUGAUCUGACGGUGCUGAGUGGAAAGGCCGUCACUCAACGGAUAAAAGUUACUCUAGGAUAACAGGCUGAUCUCCCCCAAGAGUUCACAUCGACGGGGAGGUUUGGCACCUCGAUGUCGGCUCAUCGCAUCCUGGGGCGGUAGUACGUCCCAAGGGUUGGGCUGUUCGCCCAUGAAAGCGGUACGCGAGCUGGGUUCAGAACGUCGUGAGACAGUUCGGUCCAUAUCCGGUGUAGGCGUUAGAAUAUUGAGAGGAGCCUUCUUUAGUACGAGAGGACCGAGAAGGACAUACCUCUGGUGUACCAGUUAUCGUGCCAACGGUAAACGCUGGGUAGCUAUGUGUGGAGUGGAUAACCGCUGAAAGCAUCUAAGUGGGAAGCCCACCUCAAGAUAAGUAUUCUCAU